UACAGAGGGUGCAAGCGUUGUUCGGAAUUACUGGGCGUAAAGCGCGUGUAGGUGGCGAUGUAAGUCGGGUGUGAAAUCCCUCGGCUCAACCGAGGAAGUGCACUCGAUACUGUGUCGCUUGAGUGUUGGAGGGGAUGGCGGAAUUCCCGGUGUAGAGGUGAAAUUCGUAGAUAUCGGGAGGAACACCUGUGGCGAAGGCGGCCAUCUGGACAACUACUGACACUGAGACGCGAAAGCGUGGGUAGCAAACAGG
rnacentral:rRNA from 1 species